GCCAGUCUGCAUGGAGCCGGCCUUGAAAUACCACCCUUUAAUGUUUGAUGUUCUAACGUGGACCCGUGAUCCGGGUUGCGGACAGUGUCUGGUGGGUAGUUUGACUGGGGCGGUCUCCUCCUAAAGAGUAACGGAGGAGCACGAAGGUUGGCUAAUCCUGGUCGGACAUCAGGAGGUUAGUGCAAUGGCAUAAGCCAGCUUGACUGCGAGCGUGACGGCGCGAGCAGGUGCGAAAGCAGGUCAUAGUGAUCCGGUGGUUCUGAAUGGAAGGGCCAUCGCUCAACGGAUAAAAGGUACUCCGGGGAUAACAGGCUGAUACCGCCCAAGAGUUCAUAUCGACGGCGGUGUUUGGCACCUCGAUGUCGGCUCAUCACAUCCUGGGGCUGAAGUAGGUCCCAAGGGUAUGGCUGUUCGCCAUUUAAAGUGGUACGCGAGCUGGGUUUAGAACGUCGUGAGACAGUUCGGUCCCUAUCUGCCGUGGGCGCUGGAGAACUGAGGGGGGCUGCUCCUAGUACGAGAGGACCGGAGUGGACGCAUCACUGGUGUUCGGGUUGUCAUGCCAAUGGCACUGCCCGGUAGCUAAAUGCGGAAGAGAUAAGUGCUGAAAGCAUCUAAGCACGAAACUUGCCCCGAGAUGAGUUCUCCCUGACCCUUUAAGGGUCCUGAAGGAACGUUGAAGACGACGACGUUGAUAGGCCGGGUGUGUAAGCGCAGCGAUGCGUUGAGCUAACCGGUACUAAUGAACCGUGAGGCUUAACCUU
rnacentral:rRNA from 1 species